rnacentral:rRNA from 1 species
GACGAACGCUGGCGGCGUGCUUAACACAUGCAAGUCGAGCGAUGAAGUUCCUCCGGGAAUGGAUUAGCGGCGGACGGGUGAGUAACACGUGGGUAACCUGCCUCAUAGAGGGGAAUAGCCUUCCGAAAGGAAGAUUAAUACCGCAUAAGAUUGUAGCUUCGCAUGAAGUAGCAAUUAAAGGAGCAAUCCGCUAUGAGAUGGACCCGCGUCGCAUUAGCUAGUUGGUGAGGUAACGGCUCACCUAGGCGACGAUGCGUAGCCGACCUGAGAGGGUGAUCGGCCACAUUGGGACUGAGACACGGCCCAGACUCCUACGGGAGGCAGCAGUGGGGAAUAUUGCACAAUGGGGGAAACCCUGAUGCAGCAACGCCGCGUGAGUGAUGACGGACUUCGGAUUGUAAAACUCUGUCUUCAGGGACGAUAAUGACUGUACCUGAGGAGGAAGCCACGGCUAACUACGUGCCAGCCGCCGCCGUAA